AUGAACACCAUGCAAGAGGUCACAAAGUCUCUGCCCACAUCAUCUUGGUUAUCAAACUCAAGUAGAACUAAUACUGCUCGAAGACAAAUGUCUUUAAAGUCCCACUGUCCAGUUACAAAUAAACAGAGGAAGGAGAGAGAUGGGGAGGUGGUACAGAGUGCCUUGGGGACAGAAGGAAGAAAAUACCCAGAGCAUGCACAAAGCCAAGUGGUGACGAACUCUGGAGGACUUAUCUCAUCCAAGAGAGAGAUAAGAGUGGCUGGAGGAAAACAGGCUUGGGAGACACCCCAGUCUCUAAAGUGCUGGCCCCACAAGCAUGAGGACCUGAGUUUGAUCGCCAAAAUAUACACUUUAAAAGUCAAGUUUAGCAGUGUGCACUUGUAA
ensembl:lincRNA